rnacentral:rRNA from 1 species
GACGAACCGUGCGAACGUUGUUCGGAAUCACUGGGCUUAAAGGGCGCGUAGGCGGGCGGUUUCGUCGGGGGUGAAAUCCUGCCGCUUAACGGCAGAACUGCCUCCGAUACGGGCCGUCUUGAGUGAGGUAGGGGCAUGUGGAACUUCCGGUGGAGCGGUGAAAUGCGUAGAUAUCGUUUGGAACGCCAAUGGUGAAAACAAGUAGCUGGGGAUGUGCCGACGCUGAGACACGAAAGCCAGGGGAGCGAACGGG